GGAGAGAUGGCUCAGUGGUUAAGAGCACUGGAUACUCUUCUUCCAGGGGUCCUGAGUUCAAUUCCCAGCAUCCA
rnacentral:tRNA from 1 species